UACAGAGGGUGCAAGCGUUAAUCGGAAUUACUGGGCGUAAAGCGUGCGUAGUCGGCUUUUCAAGUCGGGUGUGAAAGCCCCGGGCUCAACCUGGGAAUUGCAUUCGAUACUGGAUCGCUAGAGUUCGGCAGAGGGAAGUGGAAUUUCUGGUGUAGCGGUGAAAUGCGUAGAUAUCAGAAGGAACAUCAGUGGCGAAAGCGACUUCCUGGACCAGAACUGACGAUCAGGCACGAAAGCGUGGGGAGCAAACAGG
rnacentral:rRNA from 1 species